rnacentral:rRNA from 1 species
CGACCGGCGCACGGGUGAGUAACACGUAUGCAACCUGGCCGUGACAGAUGGAUAACCGGGAGAAAUCCCGCCUAAUACAGCAUGACGCCGGGAAGGGACAUCCCUUUCCGGCCAAAGGGGGCGACUCCGGUCACGGAUGGGCAUGCGGCGCAUUAGGUAGUUGGUGGGGCAACGGCCCACCAAGCCGACGAUGCGUAGGGGUUCUGAGAGGAAGGUCCCCCACAUUGGGACUGAGACACGGCCCAAACUCCUACGGAAGGCAGCAG